GACGAACGCUGGCGGCGUGCUUAACACAUGCAAGUCGAACGAAGUGGCGAACGGGUGAGUAACGCGUAAUCAACCUGCCCUUCAGAGGGGGACAACAGUUGGAAACGACUGCUACUACCGCAUACUGAAGGUGGGGAUUGCGUCUGAUUAGCUAGUUGGCGGGGUAACGGGCCACCAGGGCGAUGAUCAGUAGGCGGUCUGAGAGGAUGAACGGCCAAAUUGGGACUGAGACACGGCCCAGACUCCUACGGGAGGCAGCAGGGGGGAAUCAUCCGAAAUGGACGAAAGUCUGACGGAGCAACGCAGCGUGAGUGAUGACGGCCUUCGGGUUGUAAAGCUAUGUGAAUCGGGACGCGGUACCGGAAUAGAAAGCCACGGCUAACUACGUGCCAGCAGCCGCGGUAAUUC
rnacentral:rRNA from 1 species